GAGACCGCAGGGGAUGGGGUCCCCCGUAACCGCCGCAGAGGCUGAUGACUCCUACCGGGCG
rnacentral:ncRNA from 2 species